GCAGACCGCUCUAUCGCCUUCUGGCUUUUGUCAGAAUGAGGAAAGUCCGGGCAGCAAAGGGCACCAUGCUUCUUAAUGGGAAGGUGGGCGAAAGCUUACAGUAGCGUAACAGAAAAUGACCGCCUCGUGUAUUCGGGGUAAGGGUGAAAAGGUGAGGUAAGAGCUCACCGGUUUCGGGGGUAAUCUCGAAAGCCGUACGCCUCAUGGGUUGCAAGACCAAAUAUAUCACGAUAGGGGCGGCCCGUCCUGUUUCAACUCGUUUGAAAGUCGUGAGGGGUAGGUUGCUAGAUCGUAGCAGUGAUGCUACGGCCAGAUAAAUGAUAGAGGUUCUCUUCUUCGGAAAAGAAUACAGAACCCGGCUUAUAGGUCUGC
rnacentral:RNase_P_RNA from 1 species